CAGAGGAAAGGAGACAACCAGUAUGAUAAUGAAUGUGAUGCAUACAAAUGAAUACUGAUGCCUUAAAUGAUGCAACAGAAGCAAUUGGGAUCAUCGGCAUAAAGAUUGAUUACACCUCUUUAGUUAUUUUCACUGCCUAAGAUUGCAGCUGCAGGCUAAGUGCCAGAUACAGUCGGUAUCGAAAUAGCAACCACUUUACGCCUUGGCAAAGGUCUCAAGUGCUGCUUUCAAGAUAAAUACCUGGUUUUGCCCCGGAAAUUUCCCAAAUUGCUUGUUCACACGUCACCUUCAGAAUAAAUUUGUCCAUGUUGGACUGGAGGGGGUGGUGGGCAGAGGGGGUUGAGACCUGGAGGGCAGGAGAAAGCAAAGCAAAGCAAAGCAACAGAAUCUGAUGCUGUAAUGACAAUUUAUGUAAUUUUAUUUCUUUCUAAAUUUAGAUCAUUUUCAGGUGCUCGCAUUCACAUGUGCAGCACAAUUUCUGAAAUUUGGGACUUUCCUGCACCUGUGAAUACUACUUAUAUUUGACGCAUUUGACCAUGAACAGAAGCAAAAUAAGAUUUUUUUAAUGCAAAAAACAAAAUUUACAUAUUUAAAGGACAAAAUCAAACAAGAUGCGGUGAUCUACUUUGUCCACAGGGGGCGCCAAAAACAGAACAAAUGGAAAGUUAAUCACGGGCGCUUUAAAUGAGUACAUAUUUUCAUUCCCUUUUCAUUCCCAGUUCCCAUUAGACCAAAGAAAUAAAUGUCAUAUUUCUUCAAGGACGGUUAAAAUUGAACUUUCUCUGUCUCCUGAUUUGUUUGCGCUGAUAUCUGCCGCUUGUUUUGAAUUAUUAUUGCUUUGCCUGACCUCCUUUUCUCGAUGUUGCUGCACCUCAAGCUGUCAGAAACGUUCAGUCAGUCCAAACAACCGAACCAACACCCACAGAAACUGAUGAUUCAAAUCUUUUGUACCCAUUUCUCUCCCCUUACAUGAUAUUGUGUCGUCUCCCUCGCCCGCCUGACCUCCUCCGAUCGCCCACCUUCCUUCUCAUAUCCCGCCAUCUCCGCUCUGGUAAUCUUGCUGUGUUUGCACUCCUUCCAGUCUACCACACAGAUCCAGGUAAGGUAUGUGUUCAACGGAGGAAAAUGACUGACAAUGUGAGAUGAAAAAUCUUGUGGGGUGUCAAGGCUGGCUUAAUGUAAAAUUCGAUCGAACCUGGAGUGUCCCGAAGAUUAAUAGCUGCCAUUAUUCAUACUUGACUCAAGGUGCUCUGUGAGUGUUGUUUAUCUGAGAUUGUGAAUGUGUUUGUGUGGAUAAAAGAGAUGGAGAGGUGUGGGAAGAAAUAGUUCCUCUUGAGGCUGUGCUGCUGAUAGACACUUUCUGGUGAUAGUUGAACAAAGAAUGUGAUUUAAGGACGCACUCCUGCCUGCAAAAGUUUGGGGAAACUUCAUUACCUUGCGUGCUGAGGUCAGGAUUUCAGAGUGGAAACACAAGGUCGACUGUAACAUUACAUCUGAGGCGUCUUCCUCGCUCCUAUCACUUCCAAUUUGCUUGAUACAAGAGAGCUUCUUCCUCCCUCUGCUCUGGAAGAUAAUCGACAAUGAAAUUAAGUGGCGGCGGGCUCCCGUCAGUGGGGGAUUGAGGAGGAUGCGACAGCUCAGGGACUGAUGGAAGAUAAUUGCAGGACACGGUCACUAUCCUCAGGAGACCCAACCAUGUCUGGAGCUGUGAGUUGAGUCAUGUAUAAGGGUGCAGACACUGAGCAAAGAGCUAGGUCAGGCAGGUCAUGAAGCCCAGAUCCAGUGCUGUAUGUGUUGUCACUGAUGCUUUCAUUGUUCUGUGCCUUUAGGAGACUUUUGCCAAUGCUCUACCUUCAUUUUCAUGUGCUCUCCCAACCUUGGACUUUGGUGCUCCAUGAAAGCACAUGGAAGGAUCGGGACUAUCGGUGCAGUCCUGUACAUCCUAAUAGAAGUAUUUUUGGGUGCAAAUUUGAGCUCAAUCAGUUAGUUAGCAUCUCCUCUCUUUGCACACUGACUGUCGGCACACACCUAACGCAAGUAAAAUCAUUUGUGCAACUGAAUUACAUAUUGAAAGAAAUAUUCCAGCGUAAAAUUAAUUUAGAGUCAACACAACGUAACGUAACACAACGUCGCUGACCGCUUGCGAUACCAACUCUAGUAACUACAACAAGUUCGCAAUACACAACUAACUCAGUCUUAUCCUUUUGAGUCAAUGCUAAGACGCAAUUAGACACUCCUAUUACUCUGGCGGCGCGAAUAACGCAAAUUAGGCAGGAGCAGAAAAUGUCUCAACUUGAGUGGAUAUUUGCGUCCCGUUGCCCCCAAAACCAGAACAAAAAGGAGUUUGACUGGAGGCAAGUGAGGAGGUCGGAUUAUCUAGUAGAUUGUAAAAAACCAUGGUGUAUCGUUAGCAAUACAGUACUAACUCAGUGUUAUCCUUCUAAGUUAAUGCUAAGACGCAUUCGGACAGUCCUACUACUCUGGCAGCGCGUAUGACGCAAAUUGGGCGGGAGCUUAAAAUGUCUCAACUUGAGUGGAUAUUUGCGGAGCUCGCCUGGAGGCAAGUGAGUGUGGAGGUCGGAUUACCUGGUAAAUUGUAAAAAACCUUUGUCUAUCACUUGAUCCAGGUGGCAGGGAUUACCAUUGAAAUUACCGUUGACAUUCAAAUGAAGUGAGUAAAUAAUAUUCAUUUGCAAAUUGAGCAAGUAGGUGAUUGUACCUGCGCUUCCGUUGACGUGCGAAUGAAGUGAGUAAAUUCACGAACUGAGCGAGUAGCUUGAUGUGAGCGCCCCAUUAGACAUGUUUGAACAUCCCCACCACCCUGGAGAUAUACCGUGUCCUACAUAUACGCACUUAUCCGAUUGUGACGAAUCACAUUCUCCGCACCAGAGGAAGAAACAAACCCACAAACACGGAAACCCGACUUUACUUUCAUGUUAGCGGGUCGCUUCAUUUCAUCUUUUCUUCUGGCGUAUCUGUUGUCAUUCCAAGCGAGGCGUCUGUUCAAGAGCUGGCAAUUUGAUGCAGUUUAAGCCGACAAUUUGCAUGACACUGAAUUCAAUAGCUUGACAUUAGUGUUCUUUUAUUCAUGUGUUGCUUUUUCCUUGAGAGUUGAUUGCACAUUAGGAUAACACCAAACACCAUUUUGUUUUUUCAGCGUCUCUUGUCAGCGCCCGGCAGCCUGACUAAACACAGUUAAAGACCAGUGUCUGUCAGCGCUAAUUAUUCAUGCAAAUAGGCCCAGCUCUGUAAUUACAGCCUGUCCACAGUAUAAACACAUGCAUGCACACGCAAAACGAGGUCCACCCGCCACCCGGGGUAAGAUAGCAUCACUUUGUUUUUGAAAUGAUGAUUGUGACGAAGGAUAAAAAGGUCGACAUUAACACCACAGCUCUGUUUUACACAUAAUAACAGUGUUUAGUCAGGAAGAGAAUAGAGGUAAUUGUCACUCAGUUUUCACCCAUCCUAACCCUCGACUCAAUAUUCAAUUAUGCAACAUUACUCCAGAGAGGAAGAGCACAUUUUGUUCAUUUUACUAAUAAAGGGUGGCAUACUCAAUUGAAAUAAAUGAUAAAUGUCUGUGUAAAAUGUAAAAUAUUGGCAUUAUGCUAAAAAUAAGCUUGUUGUUACACAGUCUAAGAAUUAAGUAGGGAAGGUGAAGAAGCAGCAGCAGCUCGUGAGCUAGCUGUAGCAUCACUCUAAAAGAUGGUCAGAUACUUCUAAAACUGAUGUGAAUCCAACAAGAGUGUACGAAACCGUCCAUUUAGCAGUUUUCGUUUAGUUCUGCAACUUCCAAUCCGAUGCAGACGUUCAAAUUUCAAAAUAAAAGCAUGAUUCCAACAUAAAGGAACGAAAGCAACCUCAAUGCAAAAAUGUCAAAAUAAAAGCAUCACGAGAAAUUAUUUUAUUAUCUUCAUGCAAGAAUGAGAAUUUCAUAUAUAGGUGAAGUUGAGAAAGCCUCACAGUUUGUCUGUUUUCAGUAAAAAUGCUGAAAUUUUGAUGGUUCCCUGAUUGAGGUCUGGCUUGUUUACUGCUAAUGCUGAAACAUUUUAAGACACCACAGUUUAUUAUCCGUGCAGCUUUACUCGUUAUUUUUUAACUCCUCUUCAUUUCGCAUCUUAAAUCGGUGUAAAAAACAUCUUUAACUUUACUUCUCAUGACUUUUCAGUGAAAGCGAGCGUCUCAGGAGGGACGGCGAACAGGUGCGAGCUCAGCUGUGGGGGUUAAACAUGUAGGUGGAAAAUCGAAUCAAGCAUUAGUCAAAACAAGAUAUGUUUUG